GAUGAACGCUGACAGAAUGCUUAACACAUGCAAGUCUACUUGAAUUUGGGUUUUUAACUUAGGUUUGGGUGGCGGACGGGUGAGUAACGCGUAAAGAACUUGCCUCACAGCUAGGGACAACAUUUAGAAAUGAAUGCUAAUACCUAAUAUUAUGAUAAUAGGGCAUCCCAUAAUUAUGAAAGCUAUAUGCGCUGUGAGAGAGCUUUGCGUCCCAUUAGCUAGUUGGAGAGGUAACGGCUCACCAAGGCGAUGAUGGGUAGCCGGCCUGAGAGGGUGAUCGGCCACAAGGGGACUGAGACACGGCCCUUACUCCUACGGGAGGCAGCAGUGGGGAAUAUUGGACAAUGGACCGAGAGUCUGAUCCAGCAAUUCUGUGUGCACGAUGAAGUUUUUCGGAAUGUAAAGUGCUUUCAGUUGGGAAGAAAGAAAUGACGGUAUCAACAGAAGAAGUGACGGCUAAAUACGUGCCAGCAGCCGCGGUAAUACGUAUGUCACGAGCGUUAUCCGGAUUUAUUGGGCGUAAAGCGCGUCUAGGUGGUUAUAUAAGUCUGAUGUGAAAAUGCAGGGCUCAACUCUGUAUUGCGUUGGAAACUGUAUAACUAGAGUACUGGAGAGGUAAGCGGAACUACAAGUGUAGAGGUGAAAUUCGUAGAUAUUUGUAGGAAUGCCGAUGGGGAAGCCAGCUUACUGGACAGAUACUGACGCUGAAGCGCGAAAGCGUGGGUAGCAAACAGG
rnacentral:rRNA from 1 species